AGCGGCGAAAGGGAGAGUAACGCGUGGUUACGUGCCCAGGGGUCCAGGAUAGCGUUGGAAACUGGCGGUAAUACUGGAUGAUAUCUUUGGAUCAAAGGUGAGAUUCCGCCCUUGGAUCGGACCGCGUACUAUUAGCUUGUUGGUGGGGUAAAGGCCUACCAAGGCUGCGAUGGUUACCGGGUGUGAGAGCAUGGCCCGGCUCACUGGGACUGAGACACUGCCCAGACACCUACGGGUGGCUGCAGUCGAGAAUCUUCGGCAAUGGACGAAAGUCUGACCGAGCGACGCCGCGUGCGGGAUGAAGGCCCUCGGGUUGUAAACCGCUGUCAGUUGGGAGGAAAGGAACGUGAAGAGCGUUUCUUGACCGAUCUUCAGAGGAAGGACGGGCUAAGUUCGUGCCAGCAGCCGCGGUAAGACGAACCGUCCAAACGUUAUUCGGUAUCACUGGGCUUAAAGCGUGCGUAGGCGGCUUGGUAGGUGUGAUGUGAAAGCCCACGGCUCAACCGUGGAAUUGCGUCGCAAACCCUCAAGCUUGAGGAAGACAGGGGUGUUGGGAACUUAUGGUGGAGCGGUGAAAUGCGUUGAUAUCAUAGGGAACACCGGUGGCGAAGGCGCAACACUGGGUCUUUACUGACGCUGAGGCACGAAAGCUAGGGUAGCGAACGGGAUUAGAUACCCCGGUAGUCCUAGCCGUAAACGA
rnacentral:rRNA from 1 species